AUCGCUUGAAAGGCUCAAAUUGACUCUAGUAGGGAGUCUUUUAUUUUAUUGACUCCCUAAUGGAGUCAGAUUGACCCUGUCUGGCGCAUUCUACCG
rnacentral:pre_miRNA from 1 species